UACGUAGGGUGCGAGCGUUAAUCGGAAUUACUGGGCGUAAAGCGUGCGUAGGCGGUCCGCGAAGUCUGAUGUGAAAGCCCCGGGCUCAACCUGGGAACUGCAUUGGAAACUAACGGGCUCGAGUGUGGCAGAGGGGGGUGGAAUUCCACGUGUAGCAGUGAAAUGCGUAGAUAUGUGGAGGAACACCGAUGGCGAAGGCAGCCCCCUGGGAUGUGACUGACGCUCAUGUACGAAAGCGUGGGGAGCAAACAGG
rnacentral:rRNA from 1 species